GUUUUGACAAAAGUACGUAUGACAACCACAAUCAAGAUACAGAACAUUUUCAUCUCCCUCAAAAGUUCUCUCAGGCCCCUUUGCAGUUACCCCCCUCCCCUCAAGCAACCAAUGAUCUGUUUUCUAUCCCCAUAGCAGCAGUAAAAACAGAAUUUUCUUCGAAGAACUGCCAAAAAACCAACGGGAGCCUCAACUUCAUCUUGUCACCUGCAGCAGGACAUUGCCAGGGUUGGAAGACAGUAAAGUUGAUGACAAUCUGCCUUCAGUUUCGGCUAUUGUCUGUUCCUUUGUUUCUGGUUGUGACAGAACUCAAGGGGAUUUUCACAACAAGAAAGCCAGCAACUGAGCUGUUUUUCAUCAGCAUUAGGAGCAAGAACCACAAACUGCAUUUUUAAGUUGGGAGGAAACUGAGGCUCGGAUGUGCCUGCGAAGACGUAAUUAAGUUAAAAUGGGCUCGUUAGGGUGGGCCCUCAUUGAAUGACCAGUGUCCUUAUAAGAAGAGGACACAGACAGGUAGACAGAGGGAAGACCACGCGAAGGCACAGCGAGAAGGCAGCCUUCUGCAAGCCCAGGAGAGAGGCCUCCGAAGAAGCCACAGCUGCCGACACUUGAUCUUGGACUUCUAGCCUCCAGACUGUGAGAAAAUAAUUUCUGCUGUUUAAACGACCCAGUCUGUGGGAUUUUUUUUUCUGGCAGCCCUAGCAAUCUAAGACAGAAUCCAAGUCUUCUGGCUGCUUCUAUGAGGCCUUGUUUAUAUUCCAACUUCAAGGAGUUACCUGGGGUUAUUUGGAAGCUUGAAACAUCCUAGACUUUAUAAUCUAACAAAAAGGAAGCAAGGAAACGGGCUUUUAUCGAAUGCCUGCUGUGACCCUGUGCGAUGUACUUUUACACGUGUUAUUUCACUCAGUAAAUAUUUGUGGAACACAUUCUGUGCGCCAGAUACUGUGGUGCUGGGGAUACGGCUGUGAACACUGAGGAUAAAAUCCCUGCCUUCAGGGAGCCUACAUUCUAAAGGAAGAAGCAGAUGAUGAAAAUAAACAAACAAAAUACACAGGGCAUGGCACAUCAUAAGCGCUAUGGAGAAAAUAUAACGCAGGGGAGAAGGAAAG
rnacentral:lncRNA from 1 species